rnacentral:rRNA from 1 species
UACGUAGGUGACAAGCGUUGUCCGGAUUUACUGGGCGUAAAGAGCGCGCAGGCGGUCGAUCAAGUCGAGUGUGAAAGCCCCCGGCUCAACUGGGGAGGGUCAUUCGAUACUGAUCGACUCGAAGGCAGGAGAGGGUAGUGGAAUUCCCGGUGUAGUGGUGAAAUGCGUAGAUAUCGGGGGGAACACCAGUGGCGAAGGCGGCUUCCUGGCCUGUUCUUGACGCUGAGGCGCGAAAGCUAGGGGAGCAAACGGG